AUUUGGAAUUAUAAAAUCUCAGGACAUUUUGUUAUACAAUGAUCUGUGCUUCGGGCACUUUGGAGGUUGAUUCCGCCACUGCGAGGUCCCGGGAUCUCCGAAUCGAGACACUUUGCGGAACGCAAUUUAGGAAAGAAUUCUAAGUAAGUUAAAGAUAAGAAUUCUCCACUAACUGGUAUUAUCCUAGAUCUUCGCACUCCAUGGUAUCCUGAUGCCGCGACUCCAAAAACUUUUCGCAAAUAUUAAGCGAUCUACGCCUGGGGUUGGAAGACUAGAUUUGGAGCCUUGACCUUCGAUUCGCAAUUCAUCCGAUUUAACGAUACAACGGGUCCACGUACGAAUAGUCGGUGGAAAUUUAUGAUUUUUGAACGUCGAACACGAGGAUUCUAUUUAAAGUCGAGAUCCUAUGUGGGCAGGGUAAAGCUCAUGGAAAGUACCGAUAAAUCUAUCGAUUCGCGUUUCGUGCUAUGUAUUUUCGUUUCGAGAGUUCGAAAGCCUUUCAGAAGCGCGCGAUGAUUCGUAUUUUGGACGAGAGAUUUGUCAAUACUGUCUAUAACCUCAUUAGAGAUUCCGUGAAUUUUUACUUGCGACUGACUGCCUCUUAAUGCGUUGGCAUUUAUAUAUGAGAUAACAAAAUGUGUGGAGAUAAAAAAAGGCUAUCAAGAUUGCUCUGUAAAGAAGUCGUUAAAACUCUAUGUCAUCGAGUGUCAUUCGACGUAGA